GGCAGCGUGGCCGAGUGGUUUAUGGCGCUGGUCUUGUAAUCUGGAGGUCCCGGUUCAAGCCCUCCACCCUGCCA
rnacentral:tRNA from 1 species